CAGCACCUCAAGUGGUCAGGAUGAUUAUUGGGCCUAAAGCAUCCGUAGCCUGCCCUGUAAGUUUUCGGUUAAAUCUGUAUGCUCAACAUACAGGCCGCCGGGAAUACUGCAGGGCUAGGGAGUGGGAGAGGUAGACGGUACUCGGGAGGAAGUGGUAAAAUGCUUUGAUCUCUCGAUGACCACCUGUGGCGAAGGCGGUCUACCAGAACACGUCCGACGGUGAGGGAUGAAAGCUGGGGGAGCAAACCGGAUUAGAUACCCGGGUAGUCCCAGCCGUAAACUAUGCAAACUCAGUGAUGCAUUGGCUUGUGGCCAAUGCAGUGUUGCAGGGAAGCCGUUAAGUUUGCCGCCUGGGAAGUACGUACGCAAGUAUGAAACUUAAAGGAAUUGGCGGGGGAGCACCACAAGGGGUGAAGCCUGCGGUUCAAUUGGAGUCAACGCCAGAAAUCUUACCCGGAGAGACAGCAGAAUGAAGGUCAAGCUGAAGACUUUACCAGACAAGCUGAGAGGUGGUGCAUGGCCGUCGCCAGCUCGUGCCGUGAGAUGUCCUGUUAAGUCAGGUAACGAGCGAGAUCCCUGCCUCUAGUUGCCACCAUUACUCUCAGGAGUAGUGGGGCGAAUUAGCGGGACCGCCGCAGUUAAUGCGGAGGAAGGAGGGGGCCACGGCAGGUCAGUAUGCCCCGAAACUCUGGGGCCACACGCGGGCUGCAAUGGUAAUGACAAUAGGUUCCGAACCCGAAAGGAAGAGGUAAUCCAUAAACAUUACCACAGUUAUGACUGAGGGCUGCAACUCGCCCUCACGAAUAUGGAAUCCCUAGUAACUGCGUGUCAUUAUCGCGCGGUGAAUACGUCCCUGCUCCUU
rnacentral:rRNA from 1 species